UAUAUAUAUUGACUGUCGCCACUACACCCUGCAUCAGUCGCUAGCCAUUACAGUGCUUCACAGUCUUCACGCAAAUUGCUACACAAAAUGAUGUCUCGCACAACCUUAAUACUACUCCUUAUCUGUUUUGUGUGCGUCGCCGAGAUUACAAAUGGACACAUCAUUGAUGUACCACCUAGAACUAAAUGUGGACAGAAAGGAAAACCUUGUCAGAGCAAUUCAGUAUGCUGCAGUAAGCAAUGUUUGCCCACAAUUAAUAGAUGCAGUUCUUAAAUAAAUUUGUUUGAAAUGAAUCAAACAUUAUACUAUUUCAUUAUUUUACGAAUUGGGUGGAAGGCUUAAGAUUGGAUAAGUCAGAAGGGAUUGGUAAAUAUUGUUUAUUUUUCGCACCAAAUAUAAAUGUAGAAUAAUACAAAAA